UUCGUUGGGUGGACCUGGGGGGGGAUCCAUUA
rnacentral:rRNA from 1 species